GCCAAGUGCCACGUCCUCUGGCUGGGUAUGGUAUUCUGAGAACCACGUUUUGUGGCGCAUGAUCGGACCACGUUAUUGGUCCGAUCGGUACCUGAGUUGCCAGAUCAAUUCUGGUGUAGGUCAUGUGUGCUGCUGAAUAGUAUGUGAAGUCUCUACCAUUAGGAUAAAGGCUUCGCCUUUAUGUAUUGUAGAGGUCCUAGUGAGAGAGCCUUCGGUAGUUUAUCCAGUUCUCUUUUGAUGUCUAUAGGGGGAUCUGGGACACAGUUAAAGCCGUAAUUACAGGACCCAUCAUUGUGAC